GAUGAACGCUGGCGGCGUGCCUAAUACAUGCAAGUCGAGCGAAUGGAUUAAGAGCUUGCUCUUAUGAAGUUAGCGGCGGACGGGUGAGUAACACGUGGGUAACCUGCCCAUAAGACUGGGAUAACUCCGGGAAACCGGGGCUAAUACCGGAUAACGUCCUCUGGGGGCAUCCUCGGGGGACCAAAGGGGGCGAGCGAAAGCGGCUCCCGCUGAAGGAUGGGCCUGCGACUGAUUAGCUAGUUGGUGGGGUAGCGGCCUACCAAGGCGACGAUCAGUAGCCGACCUGAGAGGGUGACCGGCCACACUGGGACUGAGACACGGCCCAGACUCCUACGGGAGGCAGCAGUGGGGAAUAUUGCGCAAUGGGCGGAAGCCUGACGCAGCGACGCCGCGUGGGGGAUGACGGCCUUCGGGUUGUAAACCUCUUUCGCCAUCGACGAAGCCUUUUAGGUGACGGUAGGUGGAGAAGAAGCACCGGCCAACUACGUGCCAGCAGCCGCAGUAA
rnacentral:rRNA from 1 species